rnacentral:rRNA from 1 species
CAUUCACGGAGAGUUUGAUCCUGGCUCAGGACGAACGCUGGCGGCGUGCUUAACACAUGCAAGUCGAACGAUGAACCGCUUUCGGGCGGGGAUUAGUGGCGAACG